rnacentral:rRNA from 1 species
CGAUUGGUUCUAUUUUGUUGGUUUCUAGGACCAUCGUAAUGAUUAAUAGGGACGGUCGGGGGCAUCAGUAUUCAGUUGUCAGAGGUGAAAUUCUUGGAUUUACUGAAGACUAACUACUGCGAAAGCAUUUGUCAAGGACGUUUUCAUUAAUCAAGAACGAAAGUUAGGGGAUCGAAGAUGAUCAGAUACCGUCGUAGUCUUAACCAUAAACUAUGCCGACUAGGGAUCGGGCGGUGCCUUUUAUUGGCCCACUCGGCACCUUACGAGAAAUCAAAGUUUUUGGGUUCUGGGGGGAGUAUGGUCGCAAGGCUGAAACUUAAAGGAAUUGACGGAAGGGCACCACCAGGAGUGGAGCCUGCGGCUUAAUUUGACUCAACACGGGGAAACUCACCAGGUCCAGACACAAUAAGGAUUGACAGAUUGAGAGCUCUUUCUUGAUUUUGUGGGUGGUGGUGCAUGGCCGUUCUUAGUUGGUGGAGUGAUUUGUCUGCUUAAUUGCGAUAACGAACGAGACCUUAACCUACUAAAUAGUGCUGCUAGCUUUUGCUGGUAUAGUCACUUCUUAGAGGGACUAUCGAUUUCAAGUCGAUGGAAGUUUGAGGCACUAACAGGUCUGUGAUGCCCUUAGACGUUCUGGGCCGCACGCUCGCUACACUGACGGAGCCAGCGAGCUUUUCCUUAGCCGAGAGGUUUGGGUAAUCUUGUGAAACUCCGUCGUGC